rnacentral:rRNA from 1 species
AGUCGACGGAGUACUAGCGACAGAAUCUUUCGGGAAGAAGUCGCAAGUAUCUCAGUGGCGAACGGGUGAGUAACGCGUGAGAAACCUGCCUUUGACAAGGGGAUAGCCUCGGGAAACUGGGAUUAAUACCCUAUAAAGUUUCAUCUUAGCCUUAAGAAGAAACCAAAGUUUAGACGGUGAAAGAUGGUCUCGCGUCCCAUUAGCUAGUUGGUGAGAUAAAAGCCCACCAAGGCGACGAUGGGUAGCCGGCCUGAGAGGGUGACCGGCCACACUGGAACUGAGACACGGUCCAGACUCCUACGGGAGGCAGCAGUGGGGAAUAUUGCACAAUGGAGGGAACUCUGAUGCAGCGACGCCGCGUGAGCGAAGAAGGCUUUCGAGUCGUAAAGCUCUGUCCUAGGGGACGAUAAUGACGGUACCCAAGGAGGAAGCCCCGGCUAACUACGUGCCAGCAGCCGCGGUAAUACGUAGGGGGCGAGCGUUGUCCGGAUUUAUUGGGCGUAAAGGGUUCGCAGGCGGUAAUUUAAGUCAGAUGUGAAAUC